rnacentral:misc_RNA from 1 species
UUAAGUUCAGCGGGUAGUCUUACUUGAUUUGAGAUCGAGUUUAACGGGUAAUCGUUGCCGAUCCCCCGAAAAUUCCUGCAUCAGUCAGCAAGAGGACAAUCAACCUUUACGUUGGCUGCAGCAAAAAGUAAUAAUCCGUUUAACGGGACUAAAUAAAUAUGCUUAUAGCCCAGAUGAAAAUCCAGCUGCACCUGCAUUUC